rnacentral:rRNA from 1 species
CAGCCGCCGCGGUAAUACAGAGGAUGCAAGCGUUAUCCGGAAUGAUCGGGCGUAAAGCGUCUGUAGGUGGCUUUUCAAGUCCGCCGUCAAAUCCCAGGGCUCAACCGUGACAGGCGGUGGAAACUACCAAGCUGGAGUACGGUAGGGGCAGAGGGAAUUUCCGAUGGAGCGGUGAAAUGCGUUGAGAUCGGAAAGAACACCAACGGAGAAAGCACUCUGCUGGGCCGACACUGACACUGAGAGACGAAAUCUAGGGGAGCAAAUGGGAUUAGAUACCCCCGUAGUCCCUGUCUCUUAUACC